rnacentral:rRNA from 1 species
AACGAACGCUGGCGGCAUGCCUAACACAUGCAAGUCGAACGAGACCUUCGGGUCUAGUGGCGCACGGGUGCGUAACGCGUGGGAACCUGCCCUUAGGUUCGGAAUAACUCCCCGAAAGGGGUGCUAAUACCGGAUAAUGUCUUCGGACCAAAGAUUUAUCGCCUUUGGAUGGGCCCGCGUUGGAUUAGCUAGUUGGUAGGGUAAAAGCCUACCAAGGCGACGAUCCAUAGCUGGUCUGAGAGGAUGAUCAGCCACACUGGGACUGAGACACGGCCCAGACUCCUAUGGGAGGCAGCAGUGGGGAAUAUUGGACAAUGGGCGAAAGCCUGAUCCAGCAAUGCCGCGUGAGUGAUGAAGGCCUUAGGGUUGUAAAGCUCUUUUACCCGGGACGAUAAUGACAGUACCGGGAGAAUAAGCGCCGGCUAACUCCGUG